UAAGGAAGGAUUUCGUAACCAUCACAACAGGCCAACAGCGGAUGCGGCUGUCUUGAUCGGUACUGAGAUGCCUGUCACCUACAGGAUUCAAAAAGAAAUGAGUGACGCAUCAGACCUGCUAGAGAAGGGAUUUUUGCAUAAAAAUAAAUUCUGUGAUUCUCCACCGUAUGCUUUGCAUUUUUACUCAUCAUUGGUAAGACCAACCCGUGAUGUGGCCUUAGGGGAGGACAUCCCUUAGAAGAGGCAAUUGUACAGCGCCUGGGGAGGCAGCCGGCCACCUAGCCUCGGUGGAAUUCCUUGGUUUUGGAAAUAGCCUGGAGAACAAAGCACCCUUAUCUCUGGAGAGGCAGCUGAGAUUCUGUGGGCUCCUGCUCCCUCGGGGCUUGGCUUGCGCCGUCGUCCAGGGGCCACCAUCUGGGCCCAGAAGCCUGAUGGGGGGGAGGGUCCACAGACUAGCUGGCCACCCAACUUGGCACAUAGGGUAUUUGGUAUCCCCUAGACAUGUUGGAUAAAGACAGGUAGCCCUCUAAGCCUCACUGUUCCCAUCUGUGAAAUGGGGAUAAUAAAAGCACUCAACGCAA